CCCUUAGAUGUUCUGGGCCGCACGCGCGCUACACUGAUCGAGCCAGCGAGCCUGUCCCUCGCCGGAAGGUGCGGGUAAUCUUGUGAAACUCGAUCGUGCUGGGGAUAGACCAUUGCAAUUAUUGGUCUUCAACGAGGAAUUCCUAGUAAGCGCAAGUCAUCAGCUUGCGUUGAUUACGUCCCUGCCCUUUGUACACACCGCCCGUCGCUACUACCGAUUGAAUGGUUUAGUGAGAUCUUCGGAUUGGAGUCCUCGGUGACGGCGACGCCAUCUUGGACAACCGAGAAGUUGAGCUAACUGAAUUAUUUAGAGGAAGUAAAAGUCGUAACA
rnacentral:rRNA from 1 species